GGUCACGUGGCCUCACCAACCCGCAGGAAAGGCUGGGGCUGGAGUUCAGCUGUGAACUGGAGGAAAGAAAGCGGUAAAUGGUUCCUUUCUGCCACGGAAGCCUUAAACUGAAUCACGCUUUGGGGUUGGAACGUCGUGGAAGGUUUUGCACCUAAGUAUGCUCUUCUUCCGGGCUAAGAACGCUUCAACUUUUUCUUAGAUGAUUCUCUUUCAGAAUGCUCUAAGUUUGUAGAUCCUGGCAUUUGAAGGUUUUUACCUGUAUGGCCUUCAUUGUGCAUGCGAGCUCAUCCUCUGGCUGGUGCUGUUUACCACUGGAUCCUCAGGGUUCUUUCACCUUGAGGAUAGUACAGAUUUGGACCACACACACAAGAGAUGAGCUGGCAGUUCUCCUUUCUGGUAGAUGACUGGGAAUAGAGACUAACGCUCUAAUUUCCUCCUUGGUGAGCU